rnacentral:lncRNA from 1 species
UUACAGCAUAAGACUAAUUUUCCCUGAUCCAAAAAGCCCAGCAAGACUCUAAAAAGUCCAAGUCUUGGCUAUCUAAAGAUAAGACAUCAUUUCUUAAAUUUACAAUGGCUUGUUGCAUACUUGUGUUUUCUGAAGCAGAUUUGUAGCUUUUCUUAGGAAGUUCAACUAGCUAAAUAAUUAAGAGUAUAGUUUUGGUUUUAUAUGUCACAGUUACUAACCAUGUAAAGAUCCAUUAUUAGUAAUGAUUCCAUUAUAGAAUCUUGAAAUCACUGAGCAGAAUGGCCCUUAAAAAUUAGUCUUUCUCUUACAGAAAAUUAUAAUCCAAAGAAAAUGAAUGGUACACAUUACAUAAAUAUUGACAAAAACACAGACUUGGUUUUGAGUAUCUUAGCUAUCAGGUGAAGAUAUUCUUGAGGAAAAUAUGAAAGUGGGCACAUCAAUUUGCUGUGUCUGCUGCAUUCUUCAGUGUCGGUCAUCUGUUUCUCACCUAUACUGUUUAUGCUUAUCUUUGGACUAAAAAUAGUAGAUUAAGUCAGCCGCUUAAGUAAUGUCAAAACAGACAAGUAAAUGACUGCAAUGCACAUUAAAUAAUGUGACAAAGGCAAGCUUAGAUUGUUGUAGUUGGAUGUGGUAAGCAUUUCUGUUCAGUAGCUUUAAGUUUAAGGUCUGUUCCCAUAUAGACCUGGGUGGGCUUAGACCAUUUCUUCAGUGAUAUAGUACAUUGCCUUGGCUAUUUAUACUUUACUGUCUAGCCUCCCUGCCAUACCCCAUGGCUAAACACUGUAGUUUGAAGCCCAUGUGUCAAGCCUGGUGGGCUAAUCUGUAUCUAAACAAUGAUACUUGUCUGAACAGCCACCGUAAUGGCAGCAUUUAUUAUUUUACAUAAAAACCCAGUUAGAAGAUAGCAGAUGUAGCUCAUAACUCAUAGCACCCAAAAAGCUAUGUGUUUCAACCUCAACACACACACACAGGGCAAGGGUGAGAUGACAUGGGGCAGGAUUGGCUCUACUAUUAAAUUAUACCCCGUCGUCUUUAUUCUUUUAAACAGGGUCUCAUGAAGUUGCCCAGCCUGGCUUUGAACUCCUCUUGCCCCAUCCUCCCAAGUACCUAGGAUUACAGGCCCAUGCCAAAAGACCAAGCUAAUUCUUGGUUUUUUAAAUAAUUUCAAAAGGUAACAUAGGGACAGUGAUCUUUUUGCUUGUUAAUUUGUGCAUUUUAACUUUAUGGCAUGCCUAACCCUGAAAAAAACUAGCACAUGAAAUGAAGUUCAUUGUUGGUUUCUAGUCAGAAUCUUAAAGACAGCAGAAAUUCAGAAAACAACAUAAGGGAGUGCUGCUGCAAUUAGGGAGGGACCAUAGCCUCCUUCUAAGCCUGUGUCUUUCAAGAGCUUAGAAUUUUCUAUAAAACUUAAACAUUAGCUCUUGACCUGGUGUGUUUUAUUUUAGCUCUUAAGUCUGUUUUGUAAAGUUUUAAUCAAAAGGAAAGAUACUUCCUGUCUUCCAUACAAAGAAUGUUCACAUUUGUAUUUUUUAGAGCCCAUUUCCGUACUCCAGAGUCUGCCUUUUUUGAAAUAAUAUCUUUUAUCUACAAAAGACUUUCUGAAUUUAAGUAUCCAUAAGACCAAAAUCUGUAAAUAUGGCAUACAUUGUUGAGAAUAUUAGUUGAUUCCUGACAACUAUAUUACAUCUGCACAAAAUAUUAAUGACAGCCAUUUUUGACAGUCUAAUAUGGCAGGUGAUCUGACAUUAUCCUUCCCUGGGGUCAUGUGAGGAUAAAGCUGUUAUUCAUCUUUCUCUUUCUCUUUCUCUUUUAGGAAGAAGAGAGCUAGAGUUUUAGAAUUUUAACUGAGAAAAUUAGACUCAAGUUACUAGUCUAAAAUAUGAUGAACACAAAUUAUAUGACUGUCACUCCCUUAUUUCAUGUGGAAAAGGUGUGGAACGGUGGAUGUACUUUCUACAAAGGGUAAAUAAGGUAGACAAAGGGAAGACUUGAUGUUUAAGGCACCUCCUUCCAUACUACACUUGAAAGUGCCAGGUUGUAGAAGAGCUCUGUGCAAUAACUAAUCAUCCUUCUCAGUUAACAGUACAGGUGGCACAGCGGUGGUACAGGAACAGACUCUGGAACCAGGCUCUGUGGGCGGGCUCUGCACAGGUGCCUUUUAUUUACAAAAAUAGGAUGAUGCAAUUCCUGUCAUAGUGUUGGGGAUUGAGCAAGUUAAUGUAUAUGAACCAGUAAGUAUACAAAGAGUACAGAUUAUUACUCUUUUUUUUUAAUGGAUACAUGUCUGUUAUUUUUCAAGUUGCUGGUUGUAGUGAUGUUUUUGUAAACAAUUUGACAUUUGAACUAGAUCUUGAAAGACUUUUAAAAAGUGAAAUACAAACAAUUCAAAAUUAUAAGAGCCACAUGAAUAAAGUAAAGGAUGAUUUUUAUUUCCAUUUAUUUUAUACUGGCCAUUUACCUGCCAUUGAGCUUUACAUUAUGUUAGUCAUUUCUGGCAAUAACUCAGUAAGAUAGGUACCUUAAGGGAUUUUACAAAUGGUAAAAGAGUCACAGAAAAAUAGUCAUUUUCCCAAAGUCCCAAAGUUAAAUGUUCGGCCUAGUUCUGUCAAAUUGUAAAGCUCGGGUGGAUUCUUAAUUACUAUCUAUAGAGCACUGCCUUCUGAGAACAGACUUUCAGAAGAUCGCCCCGAGAGUCUCUGGUUGUGGCUUUGGUAGUCAUUUUAGGAAGCCAAGAGAGACAUACAACACAGGCCUGUCUUUUCUGAGAACAUUGUUGUUCUGCAAUUCUGUCAGCUAAGAGUGCUUGUGUAUGAACUGGAGUAAGCGUGCUUUGGUUAUUGAAGCUUGUACUAUUUUCCUUGCUAGAAAUGAUACAAAUUUCCCAUUGAUAUACUGAUUGACACCAUAGACUUCCCAGUUACCCCUUGUAUUGCUGGAAAUGGUUCUCUGUGAGUGCCCUUUGCAGCUCCUACAUCAAAGAGAUGUCUACAGUUGUAGUCCCAGUCUUCAAGCAUCAUGCUAUCAUUUAGUGAAGUUUGUUUAAAAUGUACUUAGGAUAGUCUUCAUUUUGCUGCUAUUUAUUCCUUACUUGUCACGUCUUCUUGUUUUGAAACUACUGGUGAAUUGAUGAUCACUUAGAUUUUUUUUUUUUCCCCAUCCAAACACCAUCCUGGCCUUAACAGAACUU